rnacentral:rRNA from 1 species
UACGGAGGGAGCUAGCGUUGUUCGGAAUUACUGGGCGUAAAGCGCACGUAGGCGGCUUUGUAAGUUAGAGGUGAAAGCCCGGGGCUCAACCCCGGAAUUGCCUUUAAGACUGCAUCGCUUGAAUCCAGGAGAGGUGAGUGGAACUGCGAGUGUAGAGGUGAAAUUCGUAGAUAUUCGCAAGAACACCAGUGGCGAAGGCGGCUCACUGGCCCGGUACUGACGCUGAGGUGCGAAAGCGUGGGGAGCGAACAGG